rnacentral:rRNA from 1 species
GAUACCCUAUUAUUUUAAAUGUAAAAAUUUAAGCUGGAAUUAUUAUUAGUUAUGUUCUUUAAAGUUAAAUAAUUUGGCGGUAUUUUAGUCUUUUCAGAGGAACCUGUUUUUUAAUUGAUAUUCCACGAUUAAUUGUACUUUAUCUUUAAAUUUAUAUAUCGUCGUUAAAUAAAUAUUUUACAAGGAUUAAAAUGUUUAGGAUUUUUAAUUAUAAACCAAUUCAGAUCAAGGUGUAGUUUAUGGUAAAGUAAAAAUGGGUUACAUUGAAUUUAUUUUUGGUUUAUUUAGUUGAAAACUGGUAAUAAAUUGGAUUGAAAGUAAUUAUUAUA